AGGCCGCGCGGGGUGGGGUGGAACCCGGCCUCCUCCAGGGCGGCGGCCAGCGGCGAGCCGGUGAUCGCCGCGCCGUCGGCCUUC
rnacentral:tRNA from 1 species